rnacentral:lncRNA from 1 species
AGCAGUGUUUUUCCAACCACCAUUCAUCGGCACUUCUUGUUUUAGCUGUUUUUCUCAACACUACUUCCAGAGCCUAAAAUAAUGCAUGACUCAGAACAAGUUCCCUGUAUUUGUAGAAUGAAUGAGUAAAGGUCAAUGGUGAAGUUCUGGCAUAGCUUAGUUAUGUAGCAGUCUGUCUCCCAAGAGUAUAAGCAUUUAAUUCAGGGGCUGUGUUUAAUGGCUGGCAAGUCAUAUCUGAGGAUAAGGAGGGCUUCACUUAUUGAGUUUGCUAGAUAUGAUGUUGAGUACCUGAGGAAAGUCAGCAUCAACAUCAACUGAAAACUUGCUGGAAAUAGAAAUUCUCAGGAACUGAACCAGAAACUCAAGGUGGGAUCACCGGAGAAAACUGCCAGAGGAACAGAGGGACACACAUCGUCUAGUUCCACAAAAAUCCAGCUAUAUCAAGGGUUGCCAAGAGGUAGACCAAUUGGAAACAACUUAUUAAAGAAUAAG